AUUCAUUGACAGUUGUAAAGGAAGAGGAGUUUUUGCCACACACCCCAUUGAACCAGGGGACUUCGUCUUGGAGUAUUGGGGUAAACUCCUGACACAGGAAGAAUGCCGGUCAAGACAAUACUCAAAGAUUGAAAGCACAUUUCUCUUUGACUUUGAGUAUCGGAACAAUCGCCUGUGCCUGGAUGCAUCUGAAGAAGAUGGAUCUCUCGGACGACUAGUCAAUGACAACCACAAAAAUCCAAAUUGUGCCAUGAAAAAAAUCAUAGUUGACGACAAGCCACUCUUGUGCCUUUUUUCUCUUAAGAAAAUAGGAAUAGGAGAUGAAACUGAUUAUGACUAUGGUAAAGCAAAAUGGCCUUGGCGUACUGAGGUGA